GCCUCUUUAGCUCAGUGGCAGAGCACUGGUCUUGUAAACCAGGGGCCGUGAGUUCAAUUCUCACAAGAGGCA
rfam:Drosophila ficusphila unplaced genomic scaffold scf7180000453812, whole genome shotgun sequence